rnacentral:rRNA from 1 species
AGCCCUUCGGGGUGGAUUAGUGGCGAACGGGUGAGUAACACGUGGGCAAUCUGCCCUUCACUCUGGGACAAGCCCUGGAAACGGGGUCUAAUACCGGAUAACACUCUGUCCCGCAUGGGACGGGGUUAAAAGCUCCGGCGGUGAAGGAUGAGCCCGCGGCCUAUCAGCUUGUUGGUGGGGUAAUGGCCUACCAAGGCGACGACGGGUAGCCGGCCUGAGAGGGCGACCGGCCACACUGGGACUGAGACACGGCCCAGACUCCUACGGGAGGCAGCAGUGGGGAAUAUUGCACAAUGGGCGAAAGCCUGAUGCAGCGACGCCGCGUGAGGGAUGACGGCCUUCGGGUUGUAAACCUCUUUCAGCAGGGAAGAAGCGAAAGUGACGGUACCUGCAGAAGAAGCGCCGGCUAACUACGUGCCAGCAGCCGCGGUAAUACGUAGGGCGCAAGCGUUGUCCGGAAUUAUUGGGCGUAAAGAGCUCGUAGGCGGCUUGUCACGUCGGAUGUGAAAGCCCGGGGCUUAACCCCGGGUCUGCAUUCGAUACGGGCUAGCUAGAGUGUGGUAGGGGAGAUCGGAAUUCCUGGUGUAGCGGUGAAAUGCGCAGAUAUCAGGAGGAACACCGGUGGCGAAGGCGGAUCUCUGGGCCAUUACUGACGCUGAGGAGCGAAAGCGUGGGGAGCGAACAGGAUUAGAUACCCUGG